CCUACGGGAGGCAGCAGUAGGGAAUCUUCCGCAAUGGACGAAAGUCUGACGGAGCAACGCCGCGUGAGCGAUGAAGGCCUUCGGGUCGUAAAGCUCUGUUGUCAGGGAAGAACAAGUAUCGGAGUAACUGCCGGUACCUUGACGGUACCUGACCAGAAAGCCACGGCUAACUACGUGCCAGCAGCCGCGGUAAUACGUAGGUGGCAAGCGUUGUCCGGAAUUAUUGGGCGUAAAGCGCGCGCAGGCGGUUCCUUAAGUCUGAUGUGAAAGCCCCCGGCUCAACCGGGGAGGGUCAUUGGAAACUGGGGAACUUGAGUGCAGAAGAGGAGAGCGGAAUUCCACGUGUAGCGGUGAAAUGCGUAGAGAUGUGGAGGAACACCAGUGGCGAAGGCGGCUCUCUGGUCUGUAACUGACGCUGAGGCGCGAAAGCGUGGGGAGCGAACAGGAUUAGAUACCCUGGUAGUCCACGCCGUAAACGAUGGGUGCUAGGUGUGGGGGGUGUCGACUCCCUCCGUGCCGAAGCUAACGCAUUAAGCACCCCGCCUGGGGAGUACGGCCGCAAGGCUAAAACUCAAAGGAAUUGACGG
rnacentral:rRNA from 1 species